GCGGCCGCACUAGUGAUUUCCGGUUGAUCCUGGCAGAGGUCACUGCUAUCGGGGUUCGAUUAAGCCAUGCGAGUCGAGAGGGUUCAGACCCUCGGCGGACUGCUCAGUAACACGUGGAUAAUCUGCCCUAUGGUGGAGGAUAACCCCGGGAAACUGGGGAUAAUACUCCAUAAGUCAGGAGUACUGGAAUGUCUCCUAACUGAAAGUUGCGGCGCCAUAGGAUGAAUCUGCGGCCGAUUAGGUAGUUGUUGGGGUAACGGCCCAACAAGCCUGUAAUCGGUACGGGUUGUGGGAGCAAGAGCCCGGAGAUGGAAUCUGAGACACGAUUCCAGGCCCUACGGGGCGCAGCAGGCGCGAAAACUUUACAAUGCAGGAAACUGUGAUAAGGGAACCCCGAGUGCCCGUAAACGCGGGCUGUCCCGGUGUUUAAAACACAUCGGAAGAAAGGGCCGGGCAAGACCGGUGCCAGCCGCCGCGGUAAUACCGGCGGCUCGAGUGGUGACCACUUUUAUUGGGCUUAAAGCGUUCGUAGCUUGAUUUUUAAGUCUCUUGGGAAAUCUCACGGCUUAACUGUGAGGCGUCUAAGAGAUACUGGGAAUCUAGGGACCGGGAGAGGUAAGAGGUACUUCAGGGGUAGAAGUGAAAUUCUGUAAUCCUUGAGGGACCACCGAUGGCGAAGGCAUCUUACCAGAACGGCUUCGACAGUGAGGAACGAAAGCUGGGGGAGCGAACGGGAUUAGAUACCCCGGUAGUCCCAGCCGUAAACUAUGCGC
rnacentral:rRNA from 1 species